UACGUAGGGGGCGAGCGUUGUCCGGAUUUAUUGGGCGUAAAGGGCUCGUAGGCGGCUUAACAAGUCGAUCGUGAAAACUCGGGGCUCAACCCCGAGACGCCGGUCGAUACUGUUAUGGCUAGGGUCCGGUAGAGGAGAAUGGAAUUCCCGGUGUAGCGGUGAAAUGCGCAGAUAUCGGGAGGAACACCAGUAGCGAAGGCGGUUCUCUGGGCCGGUACCGACGCUGAGGAGCGAAAGCGUGGGGAGCAAA
rnacentral:rRNA from 1 species